UGCAGAGGACACCGGUUUACCGGUGUAAUGCAGCCGAAGACCGUUCCAAGCCGGU
rnacentral:ribozyme from 1 species